rnacentral:rRNA from 1 species
GACGGGGGAUGCAAGUGUUAUCCGGAAUCACUGGGCGUAAAGCGUCUGCAGGUGGUUUCCUAAGUCCACUGUUAAACCUUGAGGCUCAACCUCAAAUCUGCAUUGGAAACUAGGAGACUUGAGUAUAGUAGGGGUAGAGGGAAUUUCGAGUGGAGCGGUGAAAUGCGUAGAGAUCGGGAAGAACGCCAAGGGCGAAGGCACUCUGCUAGGCCUGAUUUCGCGACUGACACUCAGGGACGAGAGCCAGGGGAGCGAAUGGG